UGGGAUAUAGCUCAGUGGGAGAGCAGUUGCCCUGCAAAGGCAAGACUCUUGAGUUCAAACCCAACAUUGCAA
rnacentral:tRNA from 1 species